GACGAACGCUGGCGGCGUGCUUAACACAUGCAAGUCGAGCGGUAAGGCCCUUUCGGGGGUACACGAGCGGCGAACGGGUGAGUAACACGUGGGUGACCUGCCCUUAGCUCUGGGAUAAAGCCUGGGAAACUGGGUCUAAUACCGGAUAUGACUCCAUGACGCAUGUUGUGGGGUGGAAAGCCUUGUGCGGCUAGGGAUGGGCCUGCGGCCUAUCAGCUUGUUGGUGGGGUGAUGGCCUACCAAGGCGACGACGGGUAGCCGGCCUGAGAGGGCGACCGGCCACACUGGGACUGAGACACGGCCCAGACUCCUACGGGAGGCAGCAGUGGGGAAUCUUGCGCAAUGGGCGAAAGCCUGACGCAGCGACGCCGCGUGGGGAUGACGGCCU
rnacentral:rRNA from 1 species